UACAGAGGUGGCAAGCGUUGUUCGGCAUUACUGGGCGUAAAGGGCGCGUAGGCGGACUUCUAAGUCAGGCGUGAAAUGCCCCGGCUUAACCUGGGAACUGCGUCUGAUACUGGAGGGCUUGAGUGCGGGAGAGGGAUGUGGAAUUCCAGGUGUAGCGGUGAAAUGCGUAGAUAUCUGGAGGAACACCGGUGGCGAAGGCGGCAUCCUGGACCGACACUGACGCUGAGGCGCGAAAGCUAGGGUAGCAAACGGG
rnacentral:rRNA from 1 species